UCAGGGGGCAGGGCAAAAUACAGUGGUACCUCAAGUUUCAAACAGCUCCCAACUCUAACAAUUGUGUGGGAGGGUUGCAGGAAGCCAGGUCGACAGCGCUUGGUAAAACUCUGCUCGACGCAACCGUUUCAUGCACGGUUUGUGGUAAGGUCUUCCGUGGUCGCUCUCGCAAGCAGGGGCUCAUGCGGCAUAUGCGAACACACACGGGGGAGAAGCCUUAUGCCUGCCCACACUGCCCACACCGUGCCAACAUGAGGCACAACCUUCGCACCCACAUCCUUGCUGUCCACGACAUCUACUGCUGAACUACAGAGGAGAUCACCAACGCUGAUGUUUGGUUUGCAGCAGCGGUCUGGAGUUGGCAUUGGUGGCAGUGGCAACCUUCCUGUCAACAGCUUUGUAUGUAGUGUGUGUUGCAAGGCAUUCCUGAGUGGUUGGGAGCUACGACGCCACUUACAUGCACACGCAGAUGCUCGCCCAUUCCGCUGUCCAUACUGUUCUCAUCGCUCCAACUUCAAGCACAACCUCAAGUCACACAUCCGUAGCAUCCACCCUGGCAAGCCUUUCUCGUUUACCGUAGAGGCCCCACUGGCCAGUGAUGGUUGAGAUUCUCUGGACUUUUUUAUUUGUUUCUUUCAUCACAUAUUGUAUAUUGAAAGACAUUUCCGUCUCAUGAAAUGUAUAAGAACUUCAUUUUAAAUGCACAUGAGUGACCAUUAACAUAGUCCCACAGGAAAACCAAAGGUUGAGCUCCACACUGUUAUCUGUAUUUCAGAACAUAAUAUAUUGAAAUAUAGUACAGGCCAAAGCUUGGAGAUCCAGCUAUCAUUUUUCUGUUGCACUAAGUUAAUUUCCUCCACCACAGUACCAGUGGUUACAUACAUGAAUAACUGUUUAAAAAUCAUAAACGUACAUGUCAUAGCGAAAUAGAAUGAUAAUGAUGUACUGGAAAUUUACUGCAAAUGUUGAUUUGAUGUAAGGAAUGAAGAAAUAUUUUUGUCUUUUUUGUUUCAUAUCAAAUGUAUUUAGGUUAUGAUUAUGCCUAGUUUUGGUCUCUGAUAGGAAUAAAAUACCAGUAGUAAGAACAAAAGAUACAGUUUAGAACUCAGAUUUUCAAUAAGGUCACAGUAAAAUCAGUAUUAAUAUUUUAGGGAUUAAACUUACCUGAUUUUUUUUUAAAUUAAAUAUUUCUUUACACAAAGAAACCUAACAUCCAGAGUUGAGCUGUACAUGGGUUGAAACAUUCAAGGCUAGCAUCAGUGUAUCCUUGAAGUGUAAGCCUAAGACACCACAGAAGUUAUUUGUGGCAAUGCAAUUAUAUUUGGCAGAAAUGUAGAAUGCUUAAUUUGAUACAUAGUACUUGCUAACAUAAGCUUUUGGAGCCAAGAUUAAAUUGUUUAGCUGAAGGGAUUCACAUAUUAAGCUUGCUUGUGUAAGUCUAUUGAUGUGUCAGCAGUUACAUUCACCAUGGUAACAGAAACCUACUUGCUGAUGUCGGUGCACGAAAGUAAACAUGUACACUACAUGUACUGUAUGUUUACUUGCUGGGAUAUUAUAGUUAUUUGUUCAUCUUGAAAUAAAAGAUAUUAAAUUUUUUAAAUAAACAAGCAGUAUGGUAACCAACUAAUUUCAAUUCUAUAAUGUGUGGUUAUGUGAAGUAUUGAGUUUCAUUGUGUCUUAGUCAUAAUAUAAAUCAAUGUUAAAAAUUUAUUAUUUAAUGAAGGUAUUUGAAAAAGUUUUACCAAACAAAAGCUUCAUCUUUGAAUUUAUAAAUGUGCAUAUAUAUUAAUAUUUGAUGGGAGUGUCACCAACUCAGGAUGUAACCUUGCUAAGUUGUUCCUGCAAUAGAUUAUCACUAAGCUAAUCUUGUAUGAUUUUAAUAAAGGAAAAUUCUGUAUGUAUGUAUUUUUUGGCUUAGUAUAAUACCUUGUCACUGAUAUUUGGACUUCUUUUAACUGAGAAAACUUACCAAAUAUAAUUUAAAUUUUACAAUGGUCUUUGUGAA